GAUGAACGCUGGCGGCGUGCCUAAUACAUGCAAGUCGAGCGAACGGACGAGAAGCUUGCUUCUCUGAUGUUAGCGGCGGACGGGUGAGUCACACGUGGAUAACCUACCUAUAAGACUGGGAUAACUUCGGGAAUCCGGCGCUAAUCCCGUAUAAUAUUUUGCACCGCAUUGUUCAAAAGUAAAAUACGGUCUUUCUGUCACUUAUAGCUGCAUCCGCGCUGCAUUAGCUAGUUGGUAAGGUAACGGCUUACCAAGGCAACGAUGCAUCGCCGAGCUGCGAGGGGGAUGGGCGACACUGGAACUGAGAGACGGUACAGAAUCCUACGGGAGGCAGAAGUAGGGAAGCGUGCGAAAUGGGCGAAAUCCUGACGGAGGAACGCAGCGUGAGUGAUGAAGGUCUGCGGAUCGGAAAACUCUGUUAUUAGGGAAGAACAUAUGUGUAAGUAACUGUGCACAACUUGACGGUACCUAAUCAGAAGGACACGGCUAACUAGGUG
rnacentral:rRNA from 1 species